UACAGUCUGUAGCUACUGUGUGUGGCUUGUUGUUGUUACAUGUCAUUUCACAUUUGUUUGAUAGCAUUAAACAAAAUGACAUAGUCACUUGCAACCAUAAUUGUUUGUGAUUACAUCAAUGCCGAAGUAAGUGCUACACUGAAUCAGAUGGUUUGAUUCCUGUGAAAAGUUUUUAAUUGUAAGUAAUGGCAAGUGCAAAGACAAUCAUGAUGGAUGUUGAUAAGUGUAGUACAAGAAUUAAUUACAUUAUUAAAUGACAUAUCAAGUCAUACUUGUGAAAGUAUGACUAUACUUCAGAGGUAAUGUGUAUUACUAUGCAAUAUCUUAUAUUGUUUCUACAACAAUGGGACAAUCACCGCGUAGAACAGUCAAGAUCUUAAAAGGUUAUUAAUUGAGGAUUUGGAUAAUCAUCAUGGACUAGCCACUCAACAGGUGUUUUAUGACGAUCUAAGUCUUAUAUUUGUCAUUCUAGUGCUAUCGAAACGGUGCGUUUUGGCGUCACUCCAUGUGACCGACUAUAAGAACCUUGGUCGCGGUGCUGGCUAUGGAAUUUUCCCUGUAUCGACAAACGUAAACUGAACGGUUCCGUAAUUCGCUUGUGGUGGAAUUGUGUGAUUUUUCACAUUUACCCCUAAAAUUCAAACCAUUCGUUGCCGUGGCAGUUCUGAUACUACUAAAGUGAUUAUUCACGCUGGAUUGCAAUACGACGAACUAUGAAAAACACAACCCAACCCAAUCCAACAGAAUUCAUCUGGGGUCUCUUCUGUCGUAGUGAGUACAUUAAUUAUACGUAUUUUAAUUUUGUUUGUAAUGAAAGGGAAAACAUGGAGCGUGUUUCCCAGUUGAACUAGGAAUUCCGAAAAAAUCACAGUGAACUUAAGAUGAGAUACUGUUAGAGAGCCUUACGUUUACAUCUGGUGUAAUUCUGAAAUAGGUAAUCAAAGACAAGCGUUGCUAUCGCAAUUAUUAAUUGUUUUUACCAUUCUAAUGUGACGGAUGUAGUUCAAUAUCAUUGUAUCGUAAACUUGUAAAGAAACAAACAAAAGGUAAAAUUAAGAAAAGAAUGGUUCAUCUUUAUGCCACAAUUCUUCGAGUGCUUGAUGAACAACGGAACUAGUUUCGAAACGUUCAUUCCAGGACUGGAUCAUUCCUGAAACAUUUGCACUAUAUUCCAAUAGCCGAACAGCCUCUCCUGGAAAGUUAACACAAAAAACGUCAAUUUUUAACAUCUUUUCAGUUAAUAGGAUUUUUCCCCCUACCUUCCAGACAAGUGUUAGACUGAACGAAAAUCUUCCUGGGUUGCUUCUUUUCGAGGAUAAGCGAUCUCCACUCAGCAAAUGGAUAAGGACCCGUUGAAGAUACUUCUGAGUAUUUGGCAUACAUAGCUCGAGCAGCUUCCAAAUUGCCAGUCGACUUAUAAAUCUUCAACAUACACAAAGUUGUGUUAGAAAAUAGAAAAAAAAAAUCUAACGAAAAUCAAAUAGAUUACUUGUAGUUUUCGCAGGAAAUUGCCAAUGGCUUCUUUUCCAACGGUGCCGAUUUUUGUCCUGUCGAGCGAAAGCAAGAAAUCAUCUCUGCCGUCACUUCCGAUUACUUUGGCAACUUUUACCAAACCCUGGCCUGCUUCCAAAAGUACUUGGAGGAUAACGUAUCGCGCUUGGGAAUGAGCCUGUAACGUUCAAGAGUGACAAACGAAAACAGCGAGUGAAAAAUUUUCUAUAAAGCAGACCUGCAUCCAUGAUUGUGUUUUGGGAUUGUAAAAUUCCAUGGCUCUUGUUGACCCAUUCAACAGUAGACUAAGCCAGUUCACGUAAAUAAUAUCUUGUGCCUUAUCACCUUCGUGACCAAAAAUCCUAGAGGGAAAAAAAAGUGUUAAUAUUUUAGUGAAAUCGAGUUUUCGGAAACAGUUACUUGAGGACGUCUUCGUUGAGAGACAAAUAGAGACCGACACAUUCUGCGCGGCAUUCUUCAUACGAUGACGAAAUGGUGGAAAACUUAGAAUCGUAUGUUUCUCCCUCUUCAUACCAAGACAACUAUAACACAUCCCGAAA